GGGAGGCAGCAGUGGGGAAUAUUGCACAAUGGGCGCAAGCCUGAUGCAGCCAUGCCGCGUGUAUGAAGAAGGCCUUCGGGUUGUAAAGUACUUUCAGCGGGGAGGAAGGCGAUAAGGUUAAUAACCUUGUCGAUUGACGUUACCCGCAGAAGAAGCACCGGCUAACUCCGUGCCAGCAGCCGCGGUAAUACGGAGGGUGCAAGCGUUAAUCGGAAUUACUGGGCGUAAAGCGCACGCAGGCGGUCUGUCAAGUCGGAUGUGAAAUCCCCGGGCUCAACCUGGGAACUGCAUUCGAAACUGGCAGGCUAGAGUCUUGUAGAGGGGGGUAGAAUUCCAGGUGUAGCGGUGAAAUGCGUAGAGAUCUGGAGGAAUACCGGUGGCGAAGGCGGCCCCCUGGACAAAGACUGACGCUCAGGUGCGAAAGCGUGGGGAGC
rnacentral:rRNA from 1 species